AUGGGGCCCAGCCCAGGGCCGCCCUCAGCAGGACACCCCAUCCCCACCCAGGGGCCUGGAGGGUACCCUCAGGACAACAUGCACCAGAUGCACAAGCCCAUGGAGUCCAUGCACGAGAAGGGCAUGUCGGACGACCCGCGCUACAACCAGAUGAAAGGAAUGGGGAUGCGGUCAGGGGGCCAUGCUGGGAUGGGGCCCCCGCCCAGCCCCAUGGACCAGCACUCCCAAGGUUACCCCUCGCCCCUGGGUGGCUCUGAGCAUGCCUCUAGUCCAGUUCCAGCCAGUGGCCCGUCUUCGGGGCCCCAGAUGUCUUCCGGACCAGGAGGUGCCCCGCUGGAUGGUGCUGACCCCCAGGCCUUGGGGCAGCAGAACCGGGGCCCAACCCCAUUUAACCAGAACCAGCUGCACCAGCUCAGAGCUCAGAUCAUGGCCUACAAGAUGCUGGCCAGGGGGCAGCCCCUCCCCGACCACCUGCAGAUGGCGGUGCAGGGCAAGCGGCCAAUGCCCGGGAUGCAGCAGCAGAUGCCAACGCUACCUCCACCCUCGGUGUCCGCAACAGGACCCGGCCCUGGCCCUGGCCCUGGCCCCGGCCCGGGUCCCGGCCCGGCACCUCCAAAUUACAGCAGGCCUCAUGGUAUGGGAGGGCCCAACAUGCCUCCCCCAGGACCCUCAGGCGUGCCCCCCGGGAUGCCAGGCCAGCCUCCUGGAGGGCCUCCCAAGCCCUGGCCUGAAGGACCCAUGGCGAAUGCUGCUGCCCCCACGAGCACCCCUCAGAAGCUGAUUCCCCCGCAGCCAACGGGCCGCCCUUCCCCCGCGCCCCCUGCUGUCCCACCCGCCGCCUCGCCCGUGAUGCCACCGCAGACCCAGUCCCCCGGGCAGCCGGCCCAGCCCGCGCCCAUGGUGCCACUGCACCAGAAGCAGAGCCGCAUCACCCCCAUCCAGAAGCCGCGGGGCCUCGACCCUGUGGAGAUCCUGCAGGAGCGCGAGUACAGGCUGCAGGCUCGCAUCGCACACCGAAUUCAGGAACUUGAAAACCUUCCCGGGUCCCUGGCCGGGGAUUUGCGAACCAAAGCGACCAUUGAGCUCAAGGCCCUCAGGCUGCUGAACUUCCAGAGGCAGCUGCGCCAGGAGGUGGUGGUGUGCAUGCGGAGGGACACAGCGCUGGAGACAGCCCUCAAUGCUAAGGCCUACAAGCGCAGCAAGCGCCAGUCCCUGCGCGAGGCCCGCAUCACUGAGAAGCUGGAGAAGCAGCAGAAGAUCGAGCAGGAGCGCAAGCGCCGGCAGAAGCACCAGGAAUACCUCAAUAGCAUUCUCCAGCAUGCCAAGGAUUUCAAGGAAUAUCACAGAUCCGUCACAGGCAAAAUCCAGAAGCUGACCAAGGCAGUGGCCACGUACCACGCCAACACGGAGCGGGAGCAGAAGAAAGAGAACGAGCGGAUCGAGAAGGAGCGCAUGCGGAGGCUCAUGGCUGAAGAUGAGGAGGGGUACCGCAAGCUCAUCGACCAGAAGAAGGACAAGCGCCUGGCCUACCUCUUGCAGCAGACAGACGAGUACGUGGCUAACCUCACGGAGCUGGUGCGGCAGCACAAGGCUGCCCAGGUCGCCAAGGAGAAAAAGAAGAAAAAGAAAAAGAAGAAGGCAGAAAAUGCAGAAGGACAGACGCCUGCCAUCGGACCGGAUGGCGAGCCUCUGGAUGAGACCAGCCAGAUGAGCGACCUCCCGGUGAAGGUGAUCCACGUGGAGAGUGGGAAGAUCCUCACAGGCACAGAUGCCCCCAAAGCCGGGCAGCUGGAGGCCUGGCUCGAGAUGAACCCGGGGUAUGAAGUAGCUCCGAGGUCUGAUAGUGAAGAAAGUGGCUCAGAAGAAGAGGAAGAGGAGGAGGAGGAAGAGCAGCCGCAGGCAGCGCAGCCUCCCACCCUGCCCGUGGAGGAGAAGAAGAAGAUUCCAGAUCCAGACAGCGAUGACGUCUCUGAGGUGGACGCGCGGCACAUCAUUGAGAAUGCCAAGCAAGAUGUCGAUGAUGAAUAUGGCGUGUCCCAGGCCCUUGCACGUGGCCUGCAGUCCUACUAUGCCGUGGCCCAUGCUGUCACUGAGAGAGUGGACAAGCAGUCAGCGCUUAUGGUCAAUGGUGUCCUCAAACAGUACCAGAUCAAAGGUUUGGAGUGGCUGGUGUCCCUGUACAACAACAACCUGAACGGCAUCCUGGCCGACGAGAUGGGCCUGGGGAAGACCAUCCAGACCAUUGCGCUCAUCACGUACCUCAUGGAGCACAAACGCAUCAAUGGGCCCUUCCUCAUCAUCGUGCCUCUCUCAACGCUGUCCAACUGGGCGUACGAGUUUGACAAGUGGGCCCCCUCCGUGGUGAAGGUGUCUUACAAGGGAUCCCCAGCAGCAAGACGGGCCUUUGUCCCCCAGCUCCGGAGUGGGAAGUUCAACGUCUUGCUGACGACGUACGAGUACAUCAUCAAAGACAAGCACAUCCUCGCCAAGAUCCGUUGGAAGUACAUGAUUGUGGACGAAGGUCACCGCAUGAAGAACCACCACUGCAAGCUGACGCAGGUGCUCAACACGCACUAUGUGGCACCCCGCCGCCUGCUGCUGACGGGCACACCGCUGCAGAACAAGCUUCCCGAGCUCUGGGCGCUGCUCAACUUCCUGCUGCCCACCAUCUUCAAGAGCUGCAGCACCUUCGAGCAGUGGUUUAACGCACCCUUUGCCAUGACCGGGGAAAAGGUGGACCUGAAUGAGGAGGAAACCAUUCUCAUCAUCCGGCGUCUCCACAAAGUGCUGCGGCCCUUCUUGCUCCGACGACUCAAGAAGGAAGUCGAGGCCCAGUUGCCCGAAAAGGUGGAGUACGUCAUCAAGUGCGACAUGUCGGCGCUGCAGCGAGUGCUCUACCGCCACAUGCAGGCCAAGGGCGUGCUGCUGACUGAUGGCUCCGAGAAGGACAAGAAGGGCAAAGGCGGCACCAAGACCCUGAUGAACACCAUCAUGCAGCUGCGGAAGAUCUGCAACCACCCCUACAUGUUCCAGCACAUCGAGGAGUCCUUUUCUGAGCACUUGGGGUUCACUGGCGGCAUUGUCCAAGGGCUGGACCUGUACCGAGCCUCGGGUAAAUUUGAGCUUCUUGAUAGAAUUCUUCCCAAACUCCGAGCAACCAACCACAAAGUGCUGCUGUUCUGCCAAAUGACCUCCCUCAUGACCAUCAUGGAAGAUUACUUUGCGUAUCGCGGCUUUAAAUACCUCAGGCUUGAUGGAACCACGAAGGCGGAGGACCGGGGCAUGCUGCUGAAAACCUUCAACGAGCCCGGCUCCGAGUACUUCAUCUUCCUGCUCAGCACCCGGGCUGGGGGGCUCGGCCUGAACCUCCAGUCUGCAGACACUGUGAUCAUUUUCGACAGCGACUGGAAUCCUCACCAGGUAAAAGCGGGCUGCGCCCCAGGUCGAGGAGAAGGAAGGGGGUGCCUGCAAAACCUCGAGGAGACACUGGCCCUGGCUUGAGGGUCCUCCAGCCUCCUCCACAUUGUCCUGGACCCCAGGAGCCGGGAGGAGCUGCACCCAUAUCUCCGUAGGUCAUCAGGGAGAAAAGAGGCGGGGUCCUCCAGUUUCCCAAAAUACGAACAGCCUUUCCCUCUGAUUGGGAAAGCAGUGUAUAAGCCAUCCGUCGGUUUGGUUUUUCUUAAAUCUUGGAAUGGCACCCAUGAGGAGGUGGAAAGUAUCCUGAUCAAUCUGUGCCGUCACUGUGGGGCGGCCCCUGCAGCGUGCCCUGUGAGCACACACACUGGCGCUUGUUCAGACACAACUGGGGGUAAACUCCAUGCCACUUUGUUUACUUCCUCCUCUUGUUCCAUAACCGUGUACCCCUCAUGGGCCUCGGCAUCGGUGGAUACCAGGUCAUGCUGUUACAUUGCUACAAGAAUUUGAAAAUGAGUUAAACUUUUCUCUGUGUUUCAUUAUAAGACUGAUAAGUUCUUAUUGUUUUUAACAUGUGAACACCAGUGACAGUCAGGAGUCCCUUUUCCCUUCCUCUCCAACCGUGCUCUGUUCUGAGCCUCUGCCAGCCCAUCUGCCUUCGCACAUGUGUGUACUGAGAUUAACACAGAUGCUGCGUGGCCUAGCAUGUGCCUCUUCCACCAAGCAGUGGGUGUCAACCGCCGAGUGCACAUCGGAAGCUACCCAGCCAUCUAAUCGGCCACCAGGCGUCCCGGCAGAUGGCCACCCCUGGACGUCUGCUCUCAAACUCUGGUUGGCAGGCAUCCAGCUUUUCUGUUGAUCAGCCUGGUCACCAACCCAGCAGGGUCCCUCUUUCUCUCAGCGUGCUUGUGCAGACACCCUAGGUCUGCUCAGCCCUCAGACAUGGGGUCGCUCCACCCCAGACAUUGUCCUCUUCAUGUUCUGGUUGCUUCUGCCAAAGUGGUUUCGCUCCUACCGCUGGGGUGUGAAUGUGCCCUGCUCUUCCCUGCAGCGUGAGGGCAGCAGUGUUCUCAGUGUGUAAAUUGUCGCCCGUCUGAUGGGUGAAUGCCGUGGUGGUCACUGGUGGCCCCUUUUACGAUCAGGCUGGGGUGUAGCUUCUGCCCAGACCCUGGUGACCAGCCAGUUUCUUAGGAGGUGGUUGAGUUGUGUGUCCCCGUUGGCAGGCCGGCAGCAGGCGGAAGCUGCACCUCAGGGCUGGGGGCGCGUUGGGGAGGGCUGGCCCUGCCAGGAAGUGUGCUGACAGGGCAGGAGGGCUGAGCGGCAGACACAAGGCACUCCUGGUCCCCACCAGGUGUGGCCUCUGCCACCCCAUGGGUGCCAGUCUUAAGUUUCAGAGCAUCACUGGUACUCACCCUGGUCCUGCAGCUCCUGGGCCGAGACAGGAUUUCGUGUUAGCCUCCUCGUACUGUGCUGGGGUGAUGAUAAAACUAACAACCCAGGCUGGGCGCGGUGGCUCACGCCCAUAAUCCCAACAUUUUGGGAGGCCGAGGUGGGUGGAUCAACUGAGGUCAGGAGUUCGAGACCAGCCUGGCCAACAUGGUGAAACCCUGUCUCUACUAAAAAUACAAAAAUUAGCCAGGCAUGGUGGUGCAUGCCUGUAGCCCCAGCUACUCAGGAAGCUGAGGCAGAAAAAUCGCUUGAACUUCGGGAGGCAGCGGUUGCAGUGAGCUGAGAUCACACCACUGCACUCCAGCCUGGGCGACAGAGCGAGACUUUGUCUC
rnacentral:sRNA from 1 species